UACGUAGGGUGCAAGCGUUGUCCGGAAUUAUUGGGCGUAAAGAGCUCAUAGGCGGUUUGUCGCGUCGAAUGUGAAAACCCGGGGCUCAACCCCGGGCCUGCAUUCGAUACGGGCAGACUAGAGUUCGGUAGGGGAGUCUGGAAUUCCUGGUGUAGCGGUGAAAUGCGCAGAUAUCAGGAGGAACACCGGUGGCGAAGGCGGGACUCUGGGCCGAUACUGACGCUGAGGAGCGAAAGCGUGGGGAGCGAACAGG
rnacentral:rRNA from 1 species